AGCGACGCAAAGCGUAGCAAGGUACGGGGCGGUCACUGAUGACGCGAGACGCUGCUGCCGAGUCACCGCUGCGAAGAGUCUGAGAGAGAAAGAGCCGGCUGACCCUGGAAGCCUACGAACUUUGGUUCCGCUUGCGGGGGAGGAGGAAGCGGAGCUACCAGGAAGCCGCGGGGCCACCUGAAGAGAGCCGAGCUAUCAAGGAGGUGCCCUGCUUAUAUCAUAAAGACAGCCCGAUCCUGGGGAGAAAGAAUCUCAAUCUUUGAAAAUAAGAGGAAGAAAAUAAACCUAAGAAAAAAUACUUUAAAUUGAAAGUUCUGAUUUUGGAAGUAUUUGAAUUAUGUCAAAGGUGAUAUUCAACACACUCAGCAACCAGUACAGCAAGGCACCAUCCAGUCAGAAUGGACACCCUGAAACAACUCUGAAACACCACCAGCCUGAAACAACACUGCGGCUAGAUCUCUGUGUCUCAGCUGAAUGUCAGUCCUGAAUUAUACUGUGUGGUCAUGAUGAGUUUUAGGCAAUUGACAACCAGUUGCAAGUUGACCUGAAGGCGAUCAGCUUUGAAGGCAGAGAUGAACAUGAUUUCACCAGGAGGCACUGCAGGCAGCUUGCAAAUCACCUUGCUGAGCCGGUUUUGCUGAGAAAGA